AGCCCGCCCGGCCCGGCGUCGGGGAGAGAGCACUCAACCCUUGUCCUCUCCUCUCCCCUCGCGCACCUGCCGCGAAAGCUCCCGACGCCACUCCGCGCCGCCUCUCCCCUUCUCCACGAUGGUCCGCGUGCGCCGCCCCUUCUCCUCCCGUCGCGCUGCCCCUUCCCUCGCCUGCGCAUGGAAGCGCCGCCGUCCGCCGCUCCGACAAGCCGACCUCACCGUCUAGGGUUUGCCAGGCCUGACCGUCCGAGCUUUUAGAUCGAGGACGAUGGCGACCACCGCCGCCGGUCGACCCGCAUCUCUCGCCUGCAAGUACCGCGCCGCCGCGGCGCUCCGCAUGACGUUGGUUGACCUGCAGCGCUCAGCCCGCAGGUACGCUCUCCUCCUUCCCUGUGCCCGACCUAGAGCGCGGCGGCAGCGGCCAGAUCCCGAGCGCGGCGGUAGGGUGUACCUCGUCGUUGUCAUCGGCAGCGACCGUGAAGGUCGCCCCAGCCAGCGUAAAUGAUGUAGAGGUGCCCCACGCGCGAAUCUCGUCCUCCUCCGGCCGCGAGACAUUCUCCAUGGCAGGCGGAGAUGAGACAGAGCGGAGGUGUGUUGUUGGUGUGCAGCUGGGCAUCUCCUCUCUCUCUAUCCAUUGUGCGCCUCCGUCAUGGGAUGACUCCAAGUCCACUGUCCACACCCUCACGCUUUACAAGGGACUCCAAUUCAAGACCAGAUAUCAAAUAUUAGACUUGGGAAGGAGGUGAUUCAUUGGCUAGCAGUGACCACAAAGAAGAAGUUGUGGCUGGCAUGUGAGCUGAGGUGGUUGUGAGGACAACUUGGAACUAUGAGCUUCACUUUAUUUCCCAUAGUAGAUGUUGCUCUGGCGUGGGAAGCAGAUGGUGGCCUCCUGCUCAUAGACAUGGGCAAGGUGGGAAUGUCGGUGCGGUCGACAACAGCAGCAACAAUAGCUACGGCAGCAUCAACCGGUGCAAGGAUUGGCAGGGAGCCAGCAAGGGCAUUGAGGCGGACUCAUGGGGGCCAGUGGGAAUUGCGAACGCUGAGGCGCACCACUGAAAUUUCUUAACAUUGGCUACUCUGUUUCAAUCCAUUGUUGUUCAAGAUUUCAGUGACUAUAUGGUGCCUCAACACCUUGAUUGGUUAACAUCAACGUCGACUGAGCCCUCCCAACACCUCGCAGAUCCGUCGGUAAGUUCCCAGAAUACUGCUCUCUCUAUCUUGGUCUCUUUGUCCUAGGAGAGCAAUACAUCAGUGCAAUGGAGAAGGAAGUGUAGUAGCCAUGGCAAGGAUGGGACAGGUCUCAAUCUCAUCUCUCUCUUUCUCCCUGAGCUUUAUUGUAGCCAAUCUUAUAUGAGUUCCUCUACUACAUGUUGUAGGGUCAGGUUUAUUUUGCUAAACAAGAUAAAUGGGACAUUGGAUUAAACCAUAGUUUUGACCAAUUUUAGUGCUGGAUGAGUAGGGUGGCGAUCUGGCAACCACGAGCAGUGCAGCCACUCUGUCGACCAUGAGCUGAUCAAUUCCCUUGCAUAAAGUUUGUUUUCUUAUUUGAUUAGUGAAAUACCUGAUCGACAUGGGUUUUAUAAACUUUGAAAAGCACAAAAAACAAGAGGUCUACCAACACGGGUUGCUACUUUAUAUUUCUAUGUACAAAUUGCAAUAACGUAUCAAUUUACCCUCAAACUUCUAUUUUCUUUUUUUCCAGAAAUUAAUUGAGUACGAAGCCAGCAAAGUUGAUAUUGGGCCUAGAAGCUAGAACCCUAAUGUAUGUGUUUUAUGUGGCUCGAGUUCAGUUCUAGUGGCUGCAUGUCAGGAUCAAAAUUCCCUCUGAUGUUGCCUGCCAAUCUGAUGGUCGAAAAAUAUACGGGAAAAAACACAGUCACAGUGCCGAGUCAGUAGGGACAUGUUUUCAAAGAAGUAACAUUACCCCUGCAAGAUAUAAGGUACUGUGGACAUUCUUCUCCCCUUAGAUCUACGAUGUACGGUUUGUCAUAAGCAUGGCAUGGCUAUUUCAGUUCUCUUUGUAGCCAGGAAACUACUGUUACAACCGAACAGGAGCAUGGUUUCAUCGCCCUAACAUAGCUCCUUCUGAAUCUGAUGGAUACAUAUAGUUUUUUGGUGAUUCUUUAUCGUUUUAAGAGGCUGUCUAUUUCUAUUCAAGAAGUAACACUUGUGGUACCUCAGUUUAGCUUUUGUUCUCUUAUCGGAUUGUAUUAUAGACCUUGUUUACGUAGUUUAUAUAUGCUCGAUUGGUUCUGCUGCGUUUAAUGUAUACAGAGGACCAGAACUGCUCCAUGUUUCUCCUUGUACUGGCUGGCUCCAGAUUUGUUAUUGUCGCAUCUUAUGUACACUUUCUCUCUGGAGUUAUGACAGAGCUUCUCUUCACCCUAAAUACCUCACAAUCAGAAUCAUCACUAUCUUCAGCAGCUAUUUUUUCAGAAGAAUGUGUUUGAUCAGGUGCAUACAAAGCGUACGCAUUGAUGGUCGCAGUUUUAGGAGUAAAUGUAAUCUCAAGACAAGAGCUAGAGAAAAUGCAGUAGUAAUCAUUUCUACCUUACUUUUCCUUCCUUGUUAUCACAAGAAAGAUAGAUCAGCUCACUUUUGUUGCCUUAUCUGAAUAUGGUACUGCUCUCUGUUGCCAUUAAGUCAAAAUGCAUAUCAAUGAUAUGGCAUGUUGUAAAACUGAUCAUGAAAACACAAGUAAAAUUUAAAUAAUAUUAUUGAAUUUAAUCUCAAAUUUUAGUGAUGCCUUGUCUCUCUUCUUCGAGUACUGAAUCUUAAUAUUAGGUAUGAGCUUGUUUGCUGAAGCUUGUUGCCUACACUGAAUAGGGAGGAACUAGCCCUGAAGCAAUGCGUUAUUGCUGAAGACAUGCAGUAUAAUAUCAUGGCUCAGUUUGAUGCUUUAGAUACGGAGGUACAAUGUUUAGAGGGCACACAUUGUUCAAUCUUGGCUUUGAAUGUGUCAGCUUCUAUUUUCCUUUCCGCCUAGCUCCGCCUCCACGCAUGCACGCGUAUACCGAAGCCCAAGCAUCCCGCCUAACUCCGCCCCGCAUGCAUUUUGGUUGUCAUCUUACUGAAAAUUGUUGUCUGAGAGCUACCUCGGGUGGUACAUUUACUGCUCGAUUAUCCUCCUCUACUAAGUUGCUGUAAUUGUGCUAAUCAACUUAGCAGUCAGCACCCCAUCUAAAGGUAGAAACCAUUCAACAUGAUGAAUUCUUGGUCAUCUCUCGGUAUGCUAGCUCACAUACUUAAGAUUGCUCACCCUCCAGUGCAAGUGUUGUCAGUAGUGGUUCCAGACAUGAUGUCAACCGUUUAGGGGGAAGGACGUGUAGUUAGUGUUUGGGAGCGGUGUUUUGGAACAUGGGUGCGUAUGCUCCCUAUAUUUUGAAAUGUAUCUUACAUAUAUUUAAAAAAUUUAAAAAAAUUGAAACUAAAAGUUCGCACGUACAUCUUCACGUGCUACAUGCUCACAAAGUCGUUUCAUAAAAAAUCAACUUAUCAUGUGACGUGUGUAAAAAAGACAAAAUUCAGUGCUAAAAAUAAUGUUUUUCACAAGAUAAAUUUUCUCUUUUUUAUAUAGACCACACAAAAUAUUGUUUUUUCGUGAAACUUGACGAACAAACGUAUAUUAUGGAGAUGUACAUGUAGAAUUUUUUGUCCAAAUUUUUUGACAUUUCGAAAUAUAAUUUUUUGGUAGAGGGAGCAUACGCACCCGGGAGCCGAAUUGAAUUUCCGUGUUUUCACAUUGCUUCUUAUCAGUUUAAUUAGUUUGCUCAGCAAUGACCUAUUGUUUGUCUGUAAUUUUUCCUUCCUGUGACGUC